rnacentral:lncRNA from 1 species
UGAUACUUUUUUCAAUCAAACUGGACACUCCUAGCCUUUAAUGUUGCCAACCCUAGCUUACGCUACAGACGGGUAUGGUUGAAUCAGUUUAGUUUUCCUGACUCAUGUUUUGGCAGAUACUUUGUGUCCAUUCGAAUCCUCAAUCUCUAAUGUGAAGUCUCAUACUUUUUCCACUCAAAUUGGAAACUCCUAGCCUUUGGUGUGGC